CUAAUACCGCAUAACACUUACGAGUCAAAGCAGCAAUGCGCUUGGAGAGGAGUUCGCGGCCGAUUAGUUAGUUGGCGGGGUAAUGGCCCACCAAGACGAUGAUCGGUAUCCGGCCUGAGAGGGCGCACGGACACACUGGAACUGAAACACGGUCCAGACUCCUACGGGAGGCAGCAGUGGGGAAUUUUGCGCAAUGGGGGAAACCCUGACGCAGCAACGCCGCGUGGAGGAUGAAAUCCCUUGGGAUGUAAACUCCUUUCGAUCGGGACGAUUAUGACGGUACCGGAAGAAGAAGCCCCGGCUAACUUCGUGCCAGCAGCCGCGGUAAUACGAGGGGGGCAAGCGUUGUUCGGAAUUAUUGGGCGUAAAGGGCGCGUAGGCGGUCUGACAAGUCUGACGUGAAAUCUCUGGGCUCAACCCAGAGUCUGCAUUAGAAACUGUCGGGCUUGAGUAUGGGAGAGGUAAGUGGAAUUUCCGGUGUAGCGGUGAAAUGCGUAGAUAUCGGAAGGAACACCUGUGGCGAAAGCGCCUUACUGGACCAUAACUGACGCUGAGGCGCGAAAGCUAGGGGAGCAAACA
rnacentral:rRNA from 1 species